UACGUAGGGGGCAAGCGUUGUCCGGAAUUAUUGGGCGUAAAGCGCGUGUAGGCGGCCAAGUAAGUCUUACGUGAAAUCCUCGGGCUCAACCCGAGAACUGCAUUGCAAACGGCCUGGCUAGAGUGCAGGAGAGGGAAGCGGAAUUCCAGGUGUAGCGGUGAAAUGCGUAGAUAUCUGGAGGAACACCGGUGGCGAAGGCGGCAUCCUGGACCGACACUGACGCUGAGGAGCGAAAGCCAGGGGAGCAAACGGG
rnacentral:rRNA from 1 species